GUGAAAAUGGCUGCAAACAGAAGAGCAAUUAUACAGCCAUAGCAGAAGAAGAUCCUGCUGAACAAUCAACAAGAAAGUGGUGUCUGAAUGCUCCUGAGGAAAAUGGUUCUUUCAUCUGACCCGGAUCAAAGCCGAACUCUGACAGAGAACAUGUUUGUCAGAGGAGGAACCUGCACCUGUGGAAAAAAAAAAGAAACUGGAGCCGAACCACAAAGGAUGCAUCAGAACAGACCAACCUGGUUCUGAAGCCCAUUACCAGCCUGUCGUCUACAUUCCUCCAAACGAUGACACCAGAAUCCGACCCUGAUGAUGUGUUAAGUCUCUGACUGGGCUCUAAGUCUGCUUUGAGAGGCACAAAGUUUGGCAUGACCUCCUUCUGACAAACUUCUGGGACCAACUUUAUUCCUCUACACUUUUUGGGUGUCUUAUAGCUUCUCCAUGUGUGGCAGUGGAGUUGAUGAAGCAGCUAAAAAGGCCAGUAACAGGAUGUCAUUUCGGUAUUUCAUGCUUGUACCAUAUUUGACUGUUGGAAUUCUCGGUGAAAGCUUUUUCUUUUUGUGUUCGUCAGCCUAACAGUCUGUAUGUAAUGUGUCCUAAUUUCUGAUUCGAUAUGAAAGAAGGGUUCACAUGUGUGAACAUAUAAAAGCUGUACAAUGUGUAAUUAACAUGACUUAGUGCAUUUUUUUUAAGAGAUGCAUAUAAAUUGAGAGUGAAUCUGAGAAAAGGCUGUACUAUUUUGACAGAUAGAAGCUGUACUGGUGCAAGAUUUUUUUUUUUUCAACUAAAGGUCAGCGCUGACAUUGAAACGCUAACCUUUCAUGAGUGUAUAGGCUGAAAGAUUUAUAAAAGGCAACUAUUUAAAUACAUAUACUGUACCUGCUGAAACAGGAGAAUUAACUGCCUCAAGUCAGGAAGAAGCAAUGGUUGAAAACUUGUUCUGUCUACAAUUAAAGUUUAAGUAUUAAUUGAUGUAUGCUGUCUCAGCUUAUAAAAAACUUUAAAAGAGAUUUUUAUUCUGCCGGCAUAAUUUUAUUUAUUGAUCUAUUAUUUAUGCUUUUCAUUUGUUUUUUAUUGUCUUGUUCAAUCAUUUAAUUACUUCUUGGUUCAGUCUUUCCUUCAGUCAAUCAGUCAUUUGAUUAUUUAUUUAUGAUAGAAAUUUAUUCAAUUAAUGGCUUAUUCAACUGUGUAUUAAUUCAUCGCUUCAAUUGUAUGUAUUUUUUAUUUAUUUAUUUCAUUCAUUCUUCAAUUCAGUUAUGUAGUUAUUUAAUAAUUUAAGUUGUUCCCAGUUUUGCUAAUUGUGUAUUUUUCAUUCAUAUUUGUGAUUGAAUUACUUAUUCAUCAAUUGGUUCACUCAUUUAAUCUAUGUAUUUAGUUUAUUUAUCAAAAACAAUCAUUCAUUCAAGUCUUUAAGCAUUCAGUCAAUGUUUUCUUUAUUUAGAUCUUGACAAUGUAAUGUAAAGAUUCUUAAAUGUGUUAUUAUCUCUGACGAUCUGAUGUGUCGAAGAUUAAAACUGAGUUUCCUUCCAGC